rnacentral:sRNA from 14 species
GGAAAAAAACAUAAAUGCAAACAAUGAUGGGCAUAUGUAUCUUAAAAUGCAGUUAUUGGUGUUGAUGUUAUUGUUGUUGGUACAUGGUGUUGUUGUCUUUGUUGUUGUCUUCCUACUAGGCAUAACCACA